GGGACGUAAAGCAAAGAGAAAGAUGCGUCCGUCUCCUCUGCUAAUAUCCAGCCAGGAGGUCUUCAUUUUUUGGCUUGCUCAGGGUCCCAAGGCCUGUGCUCAAUGCUGUCCUUCAUCUCUCCACUUCGAAGAAGGUCCAGAAGGAACUGGUACAGACGGAUUUUCUUCUUGCUGCCUGUGAGAGGGUUAGAAAAAGAAAGCGGUGAUACAAACUAAUAUGGCUACCCCUCUGAGACUUGGGCCAGAAAGCAGAUGCUGAGACAGCAGAAGAUCAACUUCUGGCAGAAGAAAGGACGAAGGGGUGAGUGAAAUGAGGUCAGAAUCACCAAAGCAGAGAAGAUGGCCAUA